UAAUCACUAGGCGUGUGGCGCCUCCAAUGAUUAUCUAGCCAUUGGACACAUUAUCAUCCAACUUAAUGGGAGGCUAUGACCUAGUUAUUUUUAUAACUAUUACAUUUUAGGGACCUAAUAAUUUUAGAGGUUUUGAUUUAAUUGAGAAUAGAUGAGAAGAACCGGUUAAUCUAGAUCCUCCCACUGACUUCAUCAAGUCAGAUUAAUAAGAACUAGAUUCAAUCCGGUUAAGAAGACACCUAAAUCAGUCAUACUGAUUUUUCUUAAGGCAUGGGUCAACUCGAAUCAUUAAGUGAUCCAAUCAAAAUGUGAU
rnacentral:lncRNA from 1 species